UGGGGAAUAUUGGACAAUGGGCGAAAGCCUGAUCCAGCCAUGCCGCGUGUGUGAAGAAGGUCUUCGGAUUGUAAAGCACUUUAAGUUGGGAGGAAGGGCAGUAAGCGAAUACCUUGCUGUUUUGACGUUACCGACAGAAUAAGCACCGGCUAACUCUGUGCCAGCAGCCGCGGUAAUACAGAGGGUGCAAGCGUUAAUCGGAAUUACUGGGCGUAAAGCGCGCGUAGGUGGUUCGUUAAGUUGAAUGUGAAAGCCCCGGGCUCAACCUGGGAACGGCAUCCAAAACUGGCGAGCUAGAGUAGGGCAGAGGGUGGUGGAAUUACCUGUGUAGCGGAGAAAUGCGUAGAUAUAGGAAGGAACACCAGUGGCGAAGGCGACCACCUGGGCUCAUACUGACACUGAGGUGCGAAAGCGUGGGGAGCAAACAGG
rnacentral:rRNA from 1 species